CAGCUGCUGGAGAGAAUGAGCUUGGAGCCGCAGGGCUUAAUCCCGCGCGGCUCAGAGAUGGGUUUCUGGACUCGCGAAGCAGCUGCAACAAGGCAUCACUCACUGUAUAAGUAUUUCCAUUUCUGAGAGCAAAAGGAAGAACUUAAGCGGGCGGCACUUGGAGUGUAAAUUGCUUUGUAGUAUUUAAAGGCAGAAUGGAUCCUGGGCAGCCGAGCUGCAACAAACCGGCAGGACUUCCUGUGAAAUCAUGACCACCAUGUGCUCUUUCAGCCUCUAUCAGUUCCUACCUCUAAGCACCUGAGAGCCAAAGCAAACCACAGGAAACCACAGGUACUAACUCUUUUAGACCUGAUGAAGUGUCUCCCAAAUACAGUCUGGCAUGAAUGAAAGCCAAGCAUAUUCCAUCAUUUCCUAAAACCAAGAUAGAGCACAUAUGGGAACUUGUGAAAUAAGGUAAAUUUUUAGUUUUAAUUCUAAGAUAACAUUUAAUUGAGGAAUGAAGUGAAAAUUCUCCUUUCCUUUUUUUUUUUUUUUUGGAACAUGGGUAUGGUCAGCAGCCUCCAACAUGACUCCUAAAGAUCUCUACCUCUUAGCAUUUAUACUGUCAUGUAAUUCUUUCCCCUUAAGGGUGGUUGAUUUAAUGACUUGUUUCUAAUAAACAAAAUAUUACAAAAGUGAUGGGCUGUCAUUUCUAAUUAGGUUAUGAAAGACUGUGGUCUGGUUUGGGUGCCUUCUCUUACAUUCUCAUUCACUUGUUGUGAGGGAAUCAAGCUACAGUGUUUUAAGGUGCACACAUGUCAAAGAACUGAUGUUUUCAGCCGGGAUCCAGCAAGGACCUGAGGUCAUCCAAAAGGCAUGUGAAUGAGUUUGGAAGAAAUCUUUCCCCAGUUGUGCUCUGAGAUAAUUGCGACACUGGCGUACAAUUUCCUGAGAGAUGUUGAGCCAGAACCACCACGCUGAGCAAAACAAGAUUCCUGACCUGAGAGAACUGUGAGAUGAUAAAUGUUUUGUUUUGAACCAAGGUAUUUUAGAAAAUUUAUUACACAGCAAUAGAUAACAAAUACAUACAGUGGAAACAUCUUCAGUAUUGUAGACUUGAGUAUGGUGGUUAGCAGGAUAUUUUCUGUCAUCAGAAGUCAGCAUAAGUAAAGGAAAUUAACAAUAGUUCAGAGAAGGCCAUAAGAUAGAAACUUGGUAAGGAAACACUGUACCUGUUCUACCUACUUCUAAGUUUUUCUUUAUUUCCACCACUCUUUGAUGCCAUGGCAAUAAAUAAUAUAUAUACAUACAUAUAUAUAUAUACACACACACACAUAUAUAUAUAUAUACACACACACAUACAUAUAUAUAUAUCUUUCAGGUUCUCUUUCUGCAGCCACUUACUAAGCUAUAAUGAUAAUAAAGGGACAAAAAGACUGGGAAUUGAACUUCAGUCAUAAUGAAAUGACUCCAUAAUUCAAAGACAAAUAAACCCAUAAUUUCCUUUUUGGAUUUAAAGAAGAAACAUUUAUCAAAUAAACUGAUAAACAAUAAUAUACUUUUACGUAGCCUAAGAUAAAAGCCAUUUGUCUAUAUUAGGGUUCUGAUAACAAUACACAAUUCUCACUCACAAAAAGAUUUUGUCAUGGGAUCAGGAGUAACUGCAGGUGUUUAUUUCCAGUCAGAAUAACUGAAAAAUUUCAACUGGACUUCCAAUGUUUAUAUAAACCUGGUUGUUUCUACAGAAAAGUAAAUAGUUUAAUUACCAUUUGCCACGAUUCCUGUUUGGAAAGUUAGCUUUCUGAAAAUAUUGAUAAGUGUAUAUUUCAGGGACAUCAAAUUAUGAAACAGACAAUUACAUGACUUGUCAGUUCAUUAUGCUAGAAAGAUUUAAAAGGUAAAUUAGAUUUUAUAAGUCAUACCAAAUGUUCACACUGAAGGAUUCAACACAUCUUUAGAAUACUUCAAGUAUAUUAGGAGAAAAAAUGCAACUUUAUUCUUGAGCUGAUUCAGCAGAGUAGAAAUAAUUUUGACAUUUGUAGUUUCUAGAUGAGGCUUGAUGUAAGAAUAAAAAUUCUUUCAGGAACUGUGUGUCUGUGAUUUAAAAGUUUAUGUUGAACAGUUUGAAAGUAUGAAGACUACUUUUACAACCAAGAAAAGAAAAUGAACUGAAUUGAACUGAAUGAUUGAAUCAACAAAAUAGUAAACCUCUGCUCAUAUUAUUAAUAUAGUCUUUCCUCUCAUAUUACUGGUAAGCCCAUAAAUAGCAUCAUAUUAUGCAAUCCGAGAAACUUCCAUGUCUAGGGUCAAUACCAAUUAAGAUUGGGUGGCUCGUAGGGUGGAGGUGGUAGUCGUAGAGCUGACAGAAUUUUGGUGUUAGCAUUUGCUCAUAGGCUGUUUUUUGACAACUUUUUAAAAAGCAGUUAUUAUGUGUCAAAUAUAAUUUCCAGUUUAAAUUAAAAAUAAAGGCCUAGGAUGU
ensembl:lncRNA LINC01322 long intergenic non-protein coding RNA 1322